GAUGAACGCUAGCGGGAGGCCUAACACAUGCAGGCCGAGCGGUAUUGUUUCUUCGGAAAUGAGAGAGCGGCGUACGGGUGCGUAACACGUGUGCAACCUGCCUUUAUCUGGGGGAUAGCCUUUCGAAAGGAAGAUUAAUACUCCAUAAUAUAUUGAACGGCAUCGUUUAAUAUUGAAAGCUCCGGCGGAUAGAGAUGGGCACGCGCAGGAUUAGCUAGUUGGUGAGGUAACGGCUCACCAAGGCGAUGAUCUUUAGGGGGCCUGAGAGGGUGAUCCCCCACACUGGUACUGAGACACGGACCAGACUCCUACGGGAGGCAGCAGUGAGGAAUAUUGGUCAAUGGGUGCAAGCCUGAACCAGCCAUCCCGCGUGAAGGACGACUGCCCUAUGGGUUGUAAACUUCUUUUGUAUAGGGAUAAACCUACCCUCGUGAGGGUAGCUGAAGGUACUAUACGAAUAAGCACCGGCUAACUCCGUGCCAGCAGCAGCCGCGGUAA
rnacentral:rRNA from 1 species